rnacentral:tRNA from 1 species
CGCGACGGUGGUCCGCUGGCCCGGGGGCGUGCGCGUCGACCACGCGCUCGGGUCCGGGCAGGAGGUCAGCACCGGGUUCGACCCGAUGCUGGGC